rnacentral:rRNA from 1 species
AUUGAACGCUGGCGGCAGGCUUAACACAUGCAAGUCGAGCGGGGUGAUGGUGCUUGCACUAUCACUUAGCGGCGGACGGGUGAGUAAUGCUUAGGAAUCUGCCUAUUAGUGGGGGACAACAUCUCGAAGGGGAUGCUAAUACCGCAUACGUCCUACGGGAGAAAGCAGGGGAUCACUUGUGACCUUGCGCUAAUAGAUGAGCCUAAGUCGGAUUGGCUAGUUGGUGGGGUAAAGGCCUACCAAGGCGACGAUCUGUAGCGGGUCUGAGAGGAUGAUCCGCCACACUGGGACUGAGACACGGCCCAGACUCCUACGGGAGGCAGCAGUGGGGAAUAUUGGACAAUGGGGGGAACCCUGAUCCAGCCAUGCCGCGUGUGUGAAGAAGGCCUUAUGGUUGUAAAGCACUUUAAGCGAGGAGGAGGCUCUUUUGGUUAAUACCCAAGAUGAGUGGACGUUACUCGCAGAAUAAGCACCGGCUAACUCUGUGCCAGCCGCCGCGGUAA